CCUACGGGUGGCAGCAGUGAGGAAUAUUGGUCAAUGGCCGGAAGGCUGAACCAGCCAAGCCGCGUGAAGGACGAAGGUGCCAAGCAUUGUAAACUUCUUUUGGCAAGGGACAAAAACAGGCUCGAGAGCCUGACCGAGGGUACUUGAAGAAAAAGCAUCGGCUAACUCCGUGCCAGCAGCCGCGGGAAUACGGAGGAUGCGAGCGUUAUCCGGAUUUAGUGGGUUACAAGGGUGCGUAGGCGGGCGGUAAAGUCAGCGGGAAAAGCCAGGGGCUCAACCCCGUCGAGCCGUUGAAACUGGCUGUCUUGAGAUGUCGAGAGGUAUGCGGAAUGCGCGGUGUAGCGGUGAAAUGCUUAGAUAUUGCGCAGAACUCCGAUUGCGAAGGAAGCGUACCGGCGGCGAUCUGACGCUGAGGCACGAAAGCGUGGGUAUCGAACAGGAUUAGAUACCCGUGUAGUC
rnacentral:rRNA from 1 species